AAGGAGCCAAAAUGGAGUCUGUCCGGC
rnacentral:piRNA from 1 species